rnacentral:rRNA from 1 species
UACGUAGGUGGCAAGCGUUAUCCGGAUUUACUGGGUGUAAAGGGAGCGUAGACGGCAUGGCAAGCCAGAUGUGAAAUACCGGGGCUCAACCCCGGGACUGCAUUUGGAACUGUUAAGCUGGAGUGUCGGAGAGGCAGGCGGAAUUCCUAGUGUAGCGGUGAAAUGCGUAGAUAUUAGGAGGAACACCAGUGGCGAAGGCGGCCUGCUGGACGAUGACUGACGUUGAGGCUCGAAAGCGUGGGGAGCAAACAGG